UACGAAGGGGGGCUAGCGUUGCUCGGAAUCACUGGGCGUAAAGGGUGCGUAGGCGGGUCUUUAAGUCAGGGGUGAAAUCCUGGAGCUCAACUCCAGAACUGCCUUUGAUACUGAGGAUCUUGAGUUCGGGAGAGGUGAGUGGAACUGCGAGUGUAGAGGUGAAAUUCGUAGAUAUUCGCAAGAACACCAGUGGCGAAGGCGGCUCACUGGGCCCGAUACUGACGCUGAGGCAGA
rnacentral:rRNA from 1 species